AUUGAACGCUGGCGGCAUGCUUUACACAUGCAAGUCGAACGGUAACAGGCCGCAAGGUGCUGACGAAUGGCGAACGGGUGAGUAAUGCAUCGGAACGUGCCCAGUCGUGGGGGAUAACGCAGCGAAAGCUGUGCUAAUACCGCAUACGAUCUAUGGAUGAAAGCGGGGGACCGUAAGGCCUCGCGCGAUUGGAGCGGCCGAUGUCAGAUUAGGUAGUUGGUGGGGUAAAGGCCUACCAAGCCGACGAUCUGUAGCUGGUCUGAGAGGACGACCAGCCACACUGGGACGGGGACACGGCCCAGACUCCUACGGGAGGCAGGAGUGGGGAAUUUUGGACAAUGGGCGCAAGCCUGAUCCAGCAAUGCCGCGUGCAGGAAGAAGGCCUUCGGGUUGUAAACUGCUUUUGUACGGAACGAAACGGUCCUGGUUAAUACCUGGGGCUAAUGACGGUACCGUAAGAAUAAGCACCGGCUAACUACGUGCCAGCCGCCGCAGUAACAC
rnacentral:rRNA from 1 species